rnacentral:rRNA from 1 species
GUGAGGAGCGCGUGGAUGACCUGCCCAGCGGUGGGGGAUACCCGGCAGAAAUGCCGGCUAAGAGCGCAUGCGACCGGGCCCUGCGAGGGGGUCGGGGAAAGCCGUAAGGCGCCGGUGGAGGGGUCCGCGUCGGAUUAGCUGGUUGGCGGGGUAAGGGCCCACCAAGGCGACGAUCCGUAGCUGGUCUGAGAGGACGGCCAGCCACACUGGGAGUGAGACACGGCCCAGACUCCUACGGGAGGCAGCAGUUAGGGAAUUUUGGCAAUGGGCGCAAGCCUGACCGAGUGACGCCGCGUGCGGGACGACGCCUCUCGGGGUGUAAACCGCUUUUCUCGGGGAAGAGUUUCGGACGGUACCCGGGGAAGAAGCCUCGGCUAACUACGUGCCAGCAGCCGCGGUGAUA